UUGCCAAUUGAUAGGCAAGCGCGGUGCUCACCCGUACCCGAGUGCGCAUGCGGAAAGAUGGCGGCUCAUCGACUUUUUCGUCAGCCGACAGCUGUACUCCGCAAGCACGGUGAUUUAAUGACACCCCCUCCCCCGCGUUGUUUAAUGACACCCGGCCGCUUUCCUGGACACCGGCUCCGCGCAGCGAUGGUUGCGGGCCUGGCGUGACAGGAGAGGGAGCGUCCCUGUCUCCUCCCCCGAUUAAUGACCGGACGCGGGGAAUCUAUUCUGUUUGUUCCCAGUACGCAUGCGCGUUGGGACUCGGGCCUGGAUAAUUUUGGAGGUCAGCCCUGUUGUCACUGCCUCGGUAACCAUGGAAAUCUCAAUGUGUUCAGCACUUGGCAGAGCCCCCCCUAUUACCAGGACGCAUGCGUUAAUCCACGAUACCGGUAAUUGAUGUUUGGCCUUCAAGCGAUACGCAUGCGCACUUCUCCGUGUUCGGCCUCUAACAGCCAAGCACAUGCGCACUUGCUUUACCCGUUGAUCAGCAAAGGUAUGCCGCCUAGUUCAGGUGCGCAUGCGUUUGCAUAGCCAGUCUCGACUGGGAGGCAGCUCUGCGUAGCGCAUGCACACUGGGUCUUCCCAGUGAUGGUUUAACAACAUGGCCAUUUGCACACGCAGCGCGCUCCGGUGGCUGCGGGUGUGGGCCCGGAGUGAGAAGGCGGGGCGCCUACGCACACACGCGCGCUGGGUGUCCCCCAGUGGUGGUUUAACGCAGCAGUCGACUUCCCAGAUAGCGAACGGCACCGAGGUCAGCAUGCGGCCCCUUGCCGUUGCCCCUUGUAUUGGUCCCAGAGGAAACUGUAGCGCUCAUUUUCUACUACGUAUGCGCCUUGUGACUCGCGCCUCAUAGUUUCGGCGCUGGUUGUGUCGUCAGUGUCGUGGCGACAUUGAAAACACCAAUAAUUCCUAGUUGGCACAGCCCCCUGAUUCUCAAGACGCGAUGCCUUUGCAUGGCGAGCACUGCGCAUGCGAACUCACCAAUAUCGAUGAAUGCGGUGUUCUGCUAAUCAGCCCAUAACAUCCGUGCGCAUGCGUAUUUGGUUCGCCCACUCGUGGGCAAAGGCCGUGCUGUCUGCGCAUGUGUCCUCAUGGUCGGCCAUCGAUGUUUUAGUCCCACGGUUGUGAACCAGCUUUGGACUGGUGCUCGCACUUGGGCCCCCCGGAGAAACGGCUUUAACACUCAGGUCGUAUUCCCGCACACGGGCUUCGCGACCCAUGCAGCUGCGGCUCCGCCCCCAAUUGACAGAGAGGGGUAAAGGGGGGCAUUUCUACCCCUUCAUCUUCUCGCGAGAAUUGAGCGCCAUCGAUCAGGCUUACUCCGCAUGCGCAUCGGCACUGGCGCUGUGAUAGUUUCGAUGCGCGACCUGUCGUCAUUCCCGUUGUAACCAUGGAAACCCAACGACUCCCUUUGCUGGCACAGCCCUGAUUCCCAAGACACGUGUGAACCGACAAUAUCGGUGAUCGAAAUAUUUUCACUGCCACCCCUGUGCAUAUGUAUUAACCAGCGCUAUCGAUACAUUCAGUUUUCAGCUAAUCAGCCUGUCAGGCCGGCAUGUGCGCAAUUCUUUUGGCAAUUGAUGGGACAAAGCUGUGGUCACCCGUACACAAGUGCGUAUGCAUGCUUAUGGCUACUUUUGGGAAUUAGAUUGGGAGUUAGUGUUCUACUCCGCAUGCGUACUGGGGCCGUGCCCCGCGUGGCUGCGGUGUGUGCCCGGAGGGACAGGGUAGGGGAAGUCCCUGCCUCUUUCUCCGAGUAUUGGCACUUGGUAGCGGCCCCUGAUUCACAGAACGAAUGAGUGUACAGCUUCCCCAAAUUAUAUAAUAAGGGGUCGAUGCGUUUACUGCAAGUACAGCGUAGGCGCACUUAAGCAGUAGAAUGGGUGAAUUAGGUACCUAACUGGCGGGGCUUGCCCCGCCCAGCGCAUGCGUGCUUCACUUGCCCAAUGAAGCGCAAAUACCGUGCACCACCUCUUCCCAAGUGCGCAUGCCUACUCAUGGCCACGCCUCGAUUCUGACACUUUUUCCAUCGGGCACAAAUCCUUUACUGCGGGUGUGCAAUGGGUGUCCCCCAGCGAUGGGUUAAAGCCACUUCUGUUCACGUACGGCAGCUUCGUGCCUCGGACUGGCUGAGGUUGCGGGUCCAGAGUACCGGGGGAACGCCCUCCUCUUUCCCCGAAGUAGUGCUCCCCAACCAGAGCUGAUUGUAGCAAUUAUUCACACACCGCAUGCGCAGCAUAUACCCCCAAUCUACAAGAUCAGAGUUCGAUGUAUUUUGCCUGUGGCCAGCGCACAUGCGCGAGUCAUCUCACUGUUACUAAAUUCCGUGUUUACCCAGUGAUAACUGCACGCAUGCGUAUUUGCUUUGCCCAUUCAAGGGCAAAUAUGCUGAAGCGCACCUUUUCAAAUGCGCAUGCGUGUUCUCGACUGCUCGAUAGCUCUUCGCCUGAGUGGGAGUGGGCCUUUUACAGCGCGUGCGGACUGGGUCUCAAGAUGCGCUAGUUUCAUGCCGUGACCGCUUUCCCAGGUACCGCCGCUGCUACCUCGGUAGCUGCAGCUGCGGCCCCGGAAAAAGAUGGGCGGGAGUGUCCCUGUCCUUUCCUACAAGUCUUUCCCCCAGACAGAACUGUAGCGCUCAUUCCCAGUCCGCAUGCACAUUGAGAUUGGCACCUUGAGAGUUUCAGCUCACGUCAUGCCGUCACUGCUUCUGUAACCAUAGGAACGCAUGAGUCUCACGACGCAUGUGCCAAUCCAGGAUAUCGGCGAUCGACAUCUUUUGCUUGCGACCGGGCCGCAUGCGCUCCUUGCAGUACCAUCGAUAAAUUCGGUGUUCAGCGGAUCAAGCUUUUAUUCCAUGCCCAUGCGUACUUGCCUUCCCCCAUGAAGCUCAAACCCUAUGUACCGCCUCUUCCGGAGUCCGCAUGCGUACUCCUGGCCGCUCAUCGAUGUUUUCGUCGCACGACUGGGAGCCUGGCCCGUGAAGCUCCUGAGCACUACGUUACUUCUCGCUGUUCUUAACGUCAGGGCCACUUUCCCCAACACUGGUUUCACGGCCCGCGUGGCUUUGGUUCCCAGCUGGGAGACGCAGGGUGGGGUACAGCGCCAGAAGUAUUGAUCCUAGUGGGAAUUGUACGGCUCGUUUGCAGUCCGCAUGCAUACUUAGAGUCGGGCCCUGACGGUUUCGGCGCUAGUCAUGCCAUCACUGUCCCUGUAACUAUGGGUAGCUGCCCAUAACUCCUGCUCUGGCACAGCCUCCUGAUUCUCAGGACGCACGCGCCAAUUCGGAACAUUGGCCAUCGAUAGCUCUUGCCUGCUCCCAUUGAGCAUGCGCCAGUUUCAUUGAUAUCGAUGAACUUGGUAUUCAGCUGAUCCGCGUCUGCCAGCCUUGCGCACGCGUACUUUCUUUGCCCACUGACGGGAAACACGAGGGUCCACCUUUUUACAAGUGCGCCUGCGUGUUCAUGGCUGUUCAUCGAUAUUUUCGUCGUGUGACUGGGAGGCCGCCCCAUGCUGCGCAUGUGUGCUGGGCCUACCCCAGUGAUUCCUCAACGUCGCUGCCGGUUUAGCAUACGGCUCCUCCUCAUGCACCCGUCCUUGGAGCCAGCGUGUCAGCGAGGAGCCGCAGCGUGACAGAAGCGGGAAUUGGGGCAGAAGCACCCCCCCCCAGGAGCUGUCGUGUUUGCAAGGGGCACUGGGCACUCAGGCAGGUGUGCAGGGCAUGUGCCGGUCCCUUGGAAACGGGUAAGGCACCACGAGCAACAGGUACGCUCAGCAGACAGAACGCAUCAGCAGUUGCCUAGGCUUCUGCCUGGACGCACAUCAUUCCCAUGCCCUGCUCCAACCGUAAUGCCUCCAGUGACUGCAGCUCUUUCCUGUAACUCAGGGGUAGGCUGCGCUGCCCUGCUGUCUGCCCUGUGGUGCAUGCUCAGUCGCCGCCAGCAUGGAGCUGAUGCCAAAGCUGUGGAGCCCGGCACAGCUGUUUGCAGCCUGCCUGCUGCCUGCUGUAGCUGCCCAGUGCUCAGGCUGGCUACAACCAGCUGUGCUGAGCUCUGGAGCCUGGUCACCAGCUCUGUGCCGGGAGCGGGGGAAACAACGGGGUUGCGCUGCCUCAGGCCCCUCCUCCACCGCCCGUCCUGAUGCACGGGUGAAAGCACCGGUAUAGAGCUCAUGCCUGGCCUCCGGAGCCCGGCACAGCUGUUUGGAACCUUUCCGCUGCAGCUGGCCUUGACUCUGGGUAACUGCUGCCAGCUGCAAAGCCCAGGCUGCUCCCAGUGGGCAGCUGGGAUGCUGCAAGCCCUGGUGGGAGCAGCCCAGGCUCCAGCAGCUACCCAGAGCCAGGGCUGGCUGUGGUGUGCCGAGCAAAAUGGCCUUGCAUGACGUGCUCAGCACAUGUGAUGGGGGUUUCCGUCCCCUGCUCUAACUGCUUGUAGCACCCUGUAAAAGCAACUACCUGCCCCAUGGCUUGCUGGAUACUGGGGGCCCAGACCCCACAGCCUUUGUAUUCUCUUUUCCUGCGCACGGGUGAGGUGUUGGAGCUCUUUGAUCUUUGCAAGCUUCAGGCCUUGUUAGCCACCCAUCCUUAUGCACUCAACAACCAGCCCCUAUGACUGUCCUACCUGACAGCCUCUGUCAGCCUCUCCUAGUUUCAUCCUUUCUGUGAAGGCUUCCCAUGAAAUUCCUUGUCACAUUCCAGACUGCAGCAGGGCUGCACCACUGUUUUCCAGCUUCCUUUAGUGAGUUAUAGGGGAGGGGGGAAGAAUGCUUCCUUGACCCCCUACUGUUUGCUUCUGUCAGCUUUAAGCUAUUUAUCUGUUUCAGUUCCCCUUUCCCUUCUCCGCUGCCUGUGCUGGCAUUGUCUCCUGUCUGCGCAGGGCUUUGGUUUAACUGAGGGCUGGACAGGUAUUUGGGCCUGCGGGACACAUAAGCAGUUCUGGGGAGCUGCAGCGGGCUGGUCAGCACCCCCACACUCUGAAUAGUUAGGAAUCUGUGCCCGCUAUUUAUUUUCCCUGCCACCACCAAUACUCCACAUUCCCAGCCCUGACCUGCCCCAUGCCCACUCCAGACUCACCCUGGCCAGGGUGGACCAGCCCGAACCUGCGUGUACACCCCUGACCAGAGCCCUCCUUGCACCUGCCCAUGCUGAGGAGUGGUAGCAGCAGGACGGAAGCUGCUGCUCCAACGUGGGAGAAACGUGGCCGCUCCUCACCCUGGCCAAGCCCUUGUUGCAACUGCCUAGAGUCCCCACCUGCCGCCUCUGGGCUGCCCAGUAGUGCAGCGGUGGUAGUGCAGUGGAACCACAGGGCAGUCUGGGCGUGGGCUUUGAGCAGUGGAGGCAAGAAGGAUCUGGCAGCUGAGAAGUUUGUGUGACCACUGUCCCUCAUGCUGAGCAGCAGCUUGUGCUUUGCCGUCGCCACUAGUGCUGCUGCUCAGUGUGGGUGGACAAGUCUGGAGCAGGGGCAGGGCUGUAUGUGCUGUUUGUGGCGGGAUGCGCCAUGGGCUGGAUGGCGUCUGGCUUAGGUAGGGCCGAGGGACCCGCCACAGGCCAAACAGAAUCCCUCCAUGGGCCAGAUCUGGCCUCCGAGCUCUAUUUUGCCUACCUCUGGUAUAAUGGGAUGCAUGUGUUACACCCAAAAUGUCUCUGGAGAAGUACAAGAGAACCAAAGCAAGUACCUCCAUAAAAUGUACACCAGAUUAUUGGGACAUUACUAAUCAGGCACUUUUGCCAAGAGCAGCUACUUACAGCAGAGAAUACAGAGACGUACUCAGAACUGGGGCGGCCAGGUGCCAGGGCCUCUCGUAAUACAUCCUUCAGGUUUGGCCAGUUCCACAAUCCCACAUCUUUGCCUUUUUGUGGGGGUUUUAUAAAGUUCAGGUUGAAAUUCUGUAUUCCAGCCCAUUUCUCUGAGGUAGGGAUCUCUUGGCCCUUUGAGUAGAGAGCAGGGAAACUGAGUCAUGGCCUGGGACCAUUGUUCUUUCCUGAAGUUGCCUCAUGAGCAGUGGGUGUCAUUUUUGGACUAUACAUUCCUGCUCCCUUGAAACUUUUCUGCCAAGCUCUUCUUGGUGUUUUUAGACUGAACUGCUUCUGGGAUCAGAGUAUCUGGAGGGAGGAGUAACCUUGUGGAAUGUAGCCUAGCAAAAAAGAGGUCCUUGCCAUGGGCUACGACAGACCCUUGGCACUUUAGUAGUCACAGAAUAUGGUUCUGCAUUGAGGGGCCUUGUUUGACACCGAAGGAUGGAUAAUCAUUCUGUCACAACCCAAAGUUGCGGUUUUUGUUUGUGUGCGCUUCGGCACCGCUAAAUUAUUUUCCCGCCGACUGUAGCUUUCUUUGCAGGAUAGAGUUCUCUGCUGCAGGAGAGAACUCUGGUGCAACGGGGGAUUUCCCGCCAAAUUACAGCUUCUUUGCAGGGUGCAUUUCUUUUGCAUACUAGUGAUGCACGUUACAAAGGAGUUCCCGCCAUUUGUAUUUGAAUUCGCGCCACAUUAUUGGCCAGUUCCAAACGUAGGCACACGUGGCGGCUAGCUAUUGGCUUGCUAGCCGUACAAAAGGCUUGGGUAGCUUCCGCCCAAGUCGGAGGGAGGGAGGAAGAGAGAGAGAGACUCUGCGUGAAGAUCUCCAAGCGCUGCGGACCCUCGUGGACCCAACGCGCCUCCCCUAAGCAGGCAAUAGAGGCUUAAUAACCGAACAUACGGAGCUUUCGCUUCUGGCCUCUCCCCGUCGCCGAUCGCAAUCCCAGAUGUAUCCCUUUCCUGUAAACUUUGAACCCACGGAGCCUUAACAACUCCGAUGAACCAAGAAACCGAACCGGACCCGCGGAGCCUAAACAACUCUGUGGGAGCAAUCGAAUUUGUCGUGGUCCUCUAGUGAGGAUCUAAGCGGGAGCUGUGCCUGGAAACCUGUCCAGCCUACACCACUACCAUCUUUGGGUGUAAGUAAACAAUCUUUUCAAUCAACCACUACAUGUUUGUGUCUAAUUCUAGCUCGCCGCCGGUUCUCUCAGACCCCGCGUGCCCGGGCUGCUGGCCACAGCCCGCGUGCGCAAAAGACGGGCCGCGGAUCGCUCCUCCCGACUCACGCGUGGCGGCGGGAUCGGGGCCCGGCCCGCACACGUUCAAGAUGAUAAUUCCCAGAUAUUGCUUCUGAGAGUAUGAAUGGGGGAGGAAUGUAUUCCUUUUUUCUGCUUUUAGCUAUUAGCAGUACAUUUUUAACUGAGGAUGUCCUUAGCUGAUCUGAGCAUAUUCAGUGCCACAUUUGUGCACAUUGCUGCUCAGCACUGGCAUCACUUGGAGUUUAGAAGAUAACCCUCCUUUAUACAGUUUCAGCUGUGUGUGAUGGGACUCCUUAAAUAGAGGGGUUUUUAAUCAGUGAGGCACGUUAGAAAGAACCUGGUAAUGUUCACUCUUUUCAGAGACAAGACUAUGACUCCUUUAUGGUCGGGACAGUUUUGCAAGCUUGGAGCCAGAACUCUUGGAAAGUAGCAAUUAUUUUACCUAUUACUGGGGUUCUUGGUUUUCUCUGUUAAAAACAUUGCAAAUUCUCUGAUUAAAACUCACAAAUUAUAACCUGCCUUUUCCUGUUAUUACAAUGAAACGCUUGCUUGUGCCCCUCAGUCCCCCCCACCCCCAUGCUUGCCAGCCCUGCUGGUGCCCUUAGUCCUGCCAGCCAUGCCAGAGGGAGGCCCCAGCUGCCAGGACUAUGCCUCUUGUCCCUGGGAGGAGGCUGCGGCUGCUGCAGUGGAGCAGAGCAUGGAGCCUGGUUCCCGCCUGCUCCCUGUCUGCUGUGGGACUGGGCAGGUGGUGAGGCCAGCUCCCCGCUCCUGUGUGCACUCCUGGGGUGCAGCGGGGACUCCUGCCCAUUAGAUCUGUGCUCAGGGUGGGCGUGUGCUCCCGCCUUGGUAUCCUCCCCCCGGGGCCUCUGCAGCCUGGUGGGUGCAACCUGGCAUGGCAGGGCACAGCAGAGCCACACAGGGAAGCUGCUUGCCACUAUGACCUCCGCCCUGUUCUGGCAACAUGUCCAGUGCAUGCGUGGGGGUAGCGGUGCAGGGUUGCGCUCCUCACUGGUGCCACUCCUGCCCCACAGACAGGUCUGGGGGCACGGGUCCCCACUGUCCUCCAGGAAUGUGCGCAGCCGUGGGGAGCCAGCCGGCCCCACCCAUCCUUCCUGCUCCCCACCAGGGCCUUGCAGCCACAGACUGCAGCCCCCGGCCCCAUGCACUGCCAAGCUGGGCUGCAGCCCCAGCCCUGCCCAACUCCCUGCCUCCUGAUGGGGGCCUCACUUCCACCCCAGCUCCCCACCACUUACCUCAGCGGCCGAGGGCAAUCGUGGACCCCUUUUUGCAGGGGGUGUGCCGCCACACUCGAGGGAUGCACGAGGACCUGCGUGCACCCCGCGCACGUCGCUUCUGCGCUGCGUUUGGCUCCUGCCUCGCAAUCGGUGUCAAGGAGGGGAGACCAACCCGCUGCUCGGUGCUGCCCUGCGGUGGUCCCGGCGGGGCCUUGACCCAGCACGUGAAGGCGCAGAAAAAGCCCUGCUCAGAGCCGCCCUCCUGUGGCCGCGCCAGGCAUUGCGGCGGGGAGACCCGGGCAGGCACCCAAGCCGGCUCCGCGCUGCCCGCCUGGGGCUGGCGCGGGGCUUGGAGCCCGAAGACAAGGGCCAGGAACAAAACCGGCUCCGUGCCGCCCUCCCUGCCCUUCAACUUGCGCCGAGCAGCCGGGCUUUAAAGCCAGAGAAAAGAAAAACCUGCCGUGUGCUGCUUUGAAGCCAGAGAAGAGAAAAACUUGCAGCAUACUGAAGGCACUGGCUGACAUCGUUGCACAGCCACUGGCAGGAAUAGUUGAAAGCUCGUGGUGCACGGUCCAAGUCCCGGAGGACUGGAAAAGGGCCAAUGUGGUCCCCAUUUUGAAGAAGGGGAGGAAGGAGGACCCGGGCAACUAUAGGCCAGUCAGUCUCACCUCCAUCCUGGGCAAAGUCUUUGAAAAAAUUAUCAAGGCUCACAUUUGCGAGAGCCUGGCAGGACAAGUUAUGCUGAGGGGAAACCAGCAUGGGUUUGUAGCAGGCAGAUCGUGCCUGACUAAUCUAGUCUCUUUUUAUGAGCAGGUUACGAAACGCCUGGACACAGGAGGAGGGGUGGAUGUCGUAUACUUAGACUUCAGGAAGGCCUUCGAUACGGUAUCCCGCCCCAUACUGGUGAACGAGUUAAGAGGCUGUGACUUGGAUGACUGCACAGUCCGGUGGGUGGCGAAUUGGCUAGAGGGUCGCACCCAGAGAGUCGUGGUGGAUGGGUCGGUUUCGACCUGGAAGGGUGCGGGCAGUGGGGUCCCACAGGGCUCGGUCCUGGGACCGAUACUCUUCAAUGUCUUCAUCGGCGACUUGGACGAGGGAGUGAAGUGUACUCUGUCCAAGCUUGCAGAUGACACAAAGCUAUGGAGAGAAGUGGACACUCCGGAGGGCAGGGAACAGCUGCAAGCAGACCUGGCCAGGUUGGACAAGUGGGCAGAAAACAACAAGGAGAAAUGCAAAGUGCUGCACCUAGGGAGGAAAAAUGUCCAGCACACCUACAGCCUAGGGAAUGACCUGCUGGGUGGCACGGAAGUGGAAAGGGAUCUUGGAGUCCUAGCGGACUCCAAGAUGAACAUGAGCCGGCAGUGUGACGAAGCCAUCAGAAAAGCUAAUGGCACUUUAUCGUGCAUCAGCAGAUGCAUGACGAAUAGGUCCAAAGAGGUAUCAGAAAAUUCCAGUUGGAAUGAAUGACCUUCCUCAGGGACAAGAGGUUAUCAAUUUCUAUGAAGUUUGGAACGUAUCUAGAAACUGAUUAACCACCAGGAAAAACGCAAGUGUCGUCGGAAAACAAGGUAAAUCACGGAAAAACAGCAGAGACAAAACUAAAUUGGGAGGAGACACGUGUCCCAAACGGAGAACGUCUCUUCUUGCACAGAAACAGAAGUUAAUUGUAGAAGAAAUAUUUGCCAUACUAAGUAAUCAAAAAUAGACAUUUCACAGGGUUACAUACCAGACAGCUAGGAGCCUGCUUGAAAUGGUCAUGAAUCUCGUAAGAUAAGCUGGAAGGGAGACCUUGUUAUUUCUCCCCAGAUGGCCUAGCCAUGGACUCGCAGCCUUUUGCACUGCGCAGUCGGCAUCAGUAUUUUGCUUUCCAGGUUUUGUGAGGAGGCCCCAGCUUGGCGUGAGUUUCAGAGUCAUCGGGGGCCGUGUGGAAAGGUGCCUGCGUGCGGUGACGUGGAGCCGCGUGGGCUCGGAGGUUUGUGUGGAAAACCGGCCAUUUUGUGUGGUGAGCUGGGACCCUUUUUCUCUGUUGUGUGGUGAUCUUGUUGGUAGGCUUUUGUUCAUUUUGUGUGGUGAUUUGGAGGUGUUUAUGUGGAAAUGAUUGGGGAAAUAUGGUGGUAGUGGGAGAAUUCUGUGGGGAUUUGGGACCUUUAGUUGGAAAUGUGUGGAAACUUGAUUUUUGGGGGGCAGAAAACUGUUAAUUGCAUGUGGUGGUACAGGACCUUUACUUGAAAAUACAGGGUUUUCUGUGCAAAGCUGGUUACUUAGGAACCAUUUGUGGAAAUAUGGUGGUUUUGUGUAUGGAAAAUGGGGUAGUAAUUUUUGGCUGAUUUAGGAACUUCUUUGUGUGACUGGUGUGUUGUGGGACCUGUGGAAAACUGUGUGGGGAUUGGUUAAGUGUAUGGAAAGAUGGUUAUGUUGCGUGAAGGGAAUUGUCUGGGGAUUUGGAAACCCUUUUUGUGGGCACGUGUGUGGGCUCGUGGCGGUUUGUGUGUGGAAAACCGGCCGCUUUGUGUGGUGAGUUUGGAACAUGUUUCUGGUAGUGCCGUGAUGUUUUUGGUGGGAAGUCGGUCAUUUUGUGUGGUGAUUUGGAGGUGUUUUUGAGGAAAUGUUUGGGGACGUGUUGGGACGUUGGGAGAGUCCUGUGGGGAUUUGGGACCUUUAUCUGGAAAUGUGAUAAUUUUUUGUGGAGCGUGUGUGGACCAUUUUUCUUGGAAAUACUGUGAUUUUUGUGGGGGGAAAAAACUGAGGAUUUGGGAACUGUUUGUGGAAAAAUGGUGAUUUUGUGUGUAGAAAAUGGUGUAGUAUUAGGGUGAUUAAUGAACUUUUUUGUGCAACUGGUGUGGUCUGGAACGUGUGCAAUAUUUUGAGGUGAUUGGGUAAGUGUGUGGAAAUACGGCUCUGUUGCGUAACGGAAAUUGCGUGGGGAUCUGGAACUCUUUUUGGAGGGCGUGUGGCAGUUUUUCUGUAGAAAACAGGCCAUUUUGUGUGGUGAUUUCAGAAGCUUUUUUUUUUUUUGGCAAAUGUGACUAUUUGGGUGGGAAGUUGGUUGUUUUGUAGUAAUUUGGAGAUGUGUUUGUGGCAAGGUUUGGGCUAAUAUGGUACUGGGAGAACUUUGUGGGGCUUUGGGAGCUUGUUUGUGGAAAUGUUUGGGUGGGUUUUUUGGGGUUUUUUUUUUUUUUUGUGAAAGACCUGAUUGUGUGUGGUGUUGAAGGGAUUUUUGCGGAAGUAUGGUGAUUUUGUGUGGAAAACUGAUGAUUUGGGAGCUGUUUGUGGAAAUGUGAGUUAGUAGAAAAUGGUGUGGUGAUUUUAGGCUGAUUUAAAAACUUAUUUGUGCAAAAUGUGUAGAAAUGUGAUUUUUGUUGUGGAAUUUAGGACCUUUCUUUGGAAACAUAGGGGUUUUGACUGGAAAACUGGUGAUUUAGGAAAUGCUUGUGGAAAUGUCUCUGCAAAUAUGGUGAAUUUGUUCAUAGAAAAAUGGCUUGGUAAUUUUAGGGUGAUUUGGGAACUGUUCUGUGCGAUUGCUGUUUUGUGGGACCUGUGCAAAAAUCUGUGGCGAAUGGGUAAGCAUAUGGAAAUAUGCUUGUGUCACGAGGGAAAGUGCAUGGUGAUUUAGAGGGGUGUAGGUUGUAGCCAUGUUGGUCUAAGGACAUAGGCAGACAAGGUUCCUUGGAUGAAGUUGAUACAUUUUAUUAGACCAACCCAAAUGGUGAUUUGGAAACUGUUUUUUUGUAGGAAUAGGUGUAAAAAAGAAAAAAAGAAAUUAUGUGAUUUGUGUGGUGAAUUGGGAACCCUUAGUGGAAAUGGGCUAGGUUGGCCCAUGGUGGUCAUGUGAUCCACUAUGGUGCGGUGAACGGUGUGUGUGAUUGCACCCAUGUGAAACUGUCUAACGUGGGUCUGCCCUUGCUCGCAGGCUACUUCUCGUGCACCUGUCCUUGGAGCCAGCAACUUCCAACAGCCAGCGAGGAGCUGCAGCGUGACAGAAGCGGGACUUGGGGCAGAAGGGCCCCCAGCAGCUGUCAUGUUUGCAAGGGUCGCUCCGGGCACUCAAACAAGUGUGCGGUCCUGCGGGGGUGCCUUGGAAACAGGCAAGGCACCACGGGCAACAGGUCACAAAAUGCUUAGACACAGGAAUUGAGGUAGAUGUCAUCUACUUGCAUUUUAAGAAGGACUUCAACAUGGUAUCUCAUUCUAAUGUCAUUAAUAAACUGAGCCGCUGUCACGUAGAUGAUUACACGAUCAGGCUAGUCCUUGCGCUCCUGUCUUUGGAACCAGCUUAUCGGUGAGGAGGCGCAACGUGACAUUUGGCACCAAAAGGCCUGGAGUAGAAAGAAGGGUCCCCGACAUCCGUCGCAUCUGCAACGGGUCCCUGCGUGAGCUACUGAGAAACAAGCGUUUGGGGCCCGCACCGGUCUCCCGGAAACAUCCAAGCCAGCCCUGGCAGCAGGUGCCUGCGCAUUCCUGCCUUGGACACGGUCAGGGAACUCAGCACGCCAGCAGUUGCCUCAGCUUCUGACCGGAUGCACGUUGUUUGCUUGCAAGCAUCCAAAGCUAGCACCUCCAGCGGCUGCAGCUGUUGCUUCCCAACUACUAGGAGAGCCUUGCAAAAGCAAUGGCCUGCCCCUGGGCCAGGCUGAUACCAGUGGCUCAGACCCAGAGACUUGCUGUUGUACCUCUCGGUGUCUGGAUUAGGUGUCGAGCACUUGGAACUCUGGCAGCUUCAGCACAUAUUAACCUCUCGUCCUCCUGUGGCCAACACCACAGAGCCCAUUACCCUAAUGUUUCUGUCAGCCUCUGUCUCACCCUUCCCCUGAAGGCCUCCCAUGAAAUCCCUUGUCCCAUCCCAGUCUGCAGGUUGGCUCCACCAGUAUUUCCCAGCUGCACGUGGAGAGUUGCAAGGGAGGUGGGGAAGAGAGUUUUAUGCCUGCAUACUCUUUACUUGUUUCAGCCUGAAGCUGUUUGUCUCAGGGCCCUUUUUUCCCCUCUCUCCUCCUCUGUCUGUGCUUCUGCUGUGUAGCCACUGCCUCCUGUGUAUGUGGGAAGGUGAUGUAAGGGGGUGCACAGUUGCCCUUAAGAGGGAGCAAUUUUUCUAUGGAGUUAAGAUGAAACUGCUGUACAGAGCACCUUGCAAAAUGCCUCCAGGUCUGCAGCGGUAGAAGGUGUAUGGGGUAAGGCACAGAGAUGAGGGAAUCGCACUGUGUUGCCCUCUGUGAACUUCCCGGGAAACACUUGGUGGGGGGGUGCAGUUCAUGUAGGUGCCUGGGCAGUGCAACCAUUUUUCUUCCAUGCCCAUGGGGUGUGGGUGCAGGUUUCCCCCUGGGGGACAUGACACUGCCUGUGCAGGCCCAGUCACCUGAGCGUAGAGCCAGGGGGGACUUUAUGGUAUUGUUGGGUUUGAACUACAAAGGAGCAGGGACCAGGAUGCACGGGUGUCAGAGAUGUGUUCCAGACCAGGUGAGGGGUGCAUGCAGGUCUGUGGCAGCGUCCUAGUGCAGGGCAGGGCACUGGGGGGGGGUCCCUGUGCUUCUGGCUAGUGGGGGAGGAGCCUGGUGCUGGGGGUGCUCUGUGCUGCUGCCCACCAGCCCAUGCUUGUGGGAUGCUUUGGUGCCCCUGACUCCCAGCCCGCAGCUUCUGCUUGUCUUGUGUUGCCCUCACUCCUGACCCGCAGCCUUGUCCCCACGGAAGAGAUCAGUCCCAAAUGCGACUCAGUGUCAGCGAGGAGCUGCAGCGUGAAAGAAAUGGGACUUGGAAAUAUCCAAGGCACCACGGGUAACAGACAAGCCUACAGUUCUGUUAUGGUGAGGACAGUUUUGCAGGUUAAGAGACAACAUUCUAGGAUAGUUGGAGGGGCGGGGAAUGGAAGGAAGAGGCAUGGAUGAGCCCUGCAUCUUUUGUUCAGCAUAUUUCUAUCGCUGUAAGAUGAGAGGGGAGCGCUAAGCACACUUGGGUUCGUGCAUGCUCCCCAUCGUUUUCAGAAGCGGACGGCAGGAGAAAGUUUGUGGUCAGCGAUAGCAGCACAAGGCCAUGCAACCAGGCUGGGGAAUGUGGGGCUCUUUCCUAAACCAGGAGUGGCAGGACUUGCACAGCUUUGCCAGCUCGCUGCCGCCGGGCCUCGGCCAAGGAGACUGCGGCCAGUCUGCGCUCAGAACCUCGCAGGCCGACGCAGGCACAGAAAUGACGCAGCUACGGCUCCCUUGAUGAUUACCCUUGAAAUGCAAAAGGCAGGUCCCACUACAGUGGCCACCCAGGCAGCUAAGAGGCAGGAGACCAAGCUGCAGCCUGAGCUUGCCUGUCAUACCCCAAAGGUCCCCUACGCAGUAGUGCAGCACCACGCACAUUCUCCCCCGCGGGGUGGGAGGUGGUGGGUCUGACGGGCAGCAGGUCUGGAAUUGGUGCAGUUUCUCUCGCCUUUGCCUUCCAGCUCGCUCCAUCCUGCAGACACCCGAAGCAAAGGUCUGGGGUGGGAGCCAGGUGCCAACACCUGGGGGUUGGGUUUAAAGCUGUCUGCCAGGUAGUGUGGCGUGGGCCAGGUGCUCUUUCUUGGCUGAGUGGGUUAGGUGCCUCACCGGCAGAGGUUUUGGGGGCUAUGGCAUUAGAGCCAAGCCGGGGUCAGGACAGGUGCUGGAAACAAGUGCUUGUCGAGCACGGCCACGGAACAAGACUGUGCGCAGCUCUGCAAGACAAGGCGGCACCUGCUGUUGUGAUGCCUGAUGCCCGCUAGGGCUUCCUCACAGGUAGGACCUGCCUGGGGCCUGCGCAGCCCGGCAGCUGCGGGACCGCGUAACUGCCUGCGGCUGGGGUGCGCCGAGAGCCGCAGAAGCCCCUGCCUACUGCUGAGGACGCCGCUGGCGGACGGGGAGGGCAGAGCCUGUAGUCCCGGUCCCUCCGCCCGCCCCGGGGGCAGAGCUAGACCCGGCGCGCACUGCCCUGCGGCCGGGCGGGCAGGAGCGGGGGGCGGUUGGGACCCGGGAGCUCUUCCUGGGGGCCUGGGCGGGAUCCGCCGGGCCGCCCUCGGGUCCCGGCGCGACAGCGGGAAGCCGAGGAUCCUGGCUGUUGUGGAGAGACUUUGGGUUGGAGAUGGAUGCAAAGAAGUGGAGGCGUGCCAUGGUGAUGGAGGGUACAGCAGGAGGAGUAGCGUGAUGGAAGAUGAUCAAAGUCUGGUCCUGAGUGGAGAAGAGCUGAGGAAGAGGUGAAGAGCCCUGGAGCUGGUAUGGUGUGGAAGGCGUUGGAGAUGGCCCGAAGCCAUGCUCAUGUGAUCACCUGGAGCGAGGUAUUUGCUUCUUGUGGGUUGCAGCUCUGGAUGGACAGAUCCUGCAGCUGCAGUUGCCUGCAUCAUAUCUGGGAAAGGGAUGGCAAGCAUGAGGACUGACGGCGCACAAGGACUGAAAGCGCAGCUUGAUGCCAGGUGCGGGUCCUGGUGUUCCUGGAAGGAAAGGGUGAGGGCACAGGGACUGGAGCAGAGCAGCGGUAACGGAACCAGAGGAUCAGGAUGCUAGAAGGUGUUUCGUGUUUGGGAUGAGGAGCCACCUUGCCAAGGCUUCAGGCACUGAAGACGAGGUGAAGAGCCGCAGAGAUGGUGGAGGAGGAAAUGGGCAGCUGUCUCGUGACUUCCCAGUUUGUGUGGUGUGAGGCCUCUGCCCCUGUGACGUCACCUGUGUGGAGCCUGCGGUCAUGCUGUGUGUACGGUGGUUACUGUGAUACAUCACGUUUUGAGUGCCUGUGACUAUCCAGCUCCGGGAGGCCGCAGACAAGCCUUUGAGAGCUCGGGUAAAGCCUGUAUGUAUCUUGUGGGGGAAGAGGGAUGCAGGGAGUUCUGUGCCAUGCUGGUGGAAGAGGAAGGAAAACAAUGCUUAAAGGAGCCAUCUUCUGAAGGCUUGAGGGCUGUGAAGCAGACACUGUGAAGAUGAAGUGAAGAGUCCCAGAGAUGGUGCACAAGGAAAUGGGCAGCCUUGUCGUGACUUCCUGACUUGCGUGAUGUGAGGCCUCUUCUCCUGUGGCAUGACCUGGCUGGACUCCUGGGCUUCGCAGGCGGUGCAUCUCUGCUCCCACUUCCUGCUGUGAGGACACCUGGAUAAGGAGCAGCAUGAUUGUGGCUGGCUGUGCGGCCUCAAUGUUGUGGGGGAGAGGAAUAGAAGUGAGUUUUCUACGGCGGUGGUAGAAGAUGGAGGAACUGGAUUCCGAAAGAUGGGCUGGGUUAAAGUGGGAGGCUGGGUUGCGUUUUCUCUGGUCAUAUUUGGGUGGGGGAGGAAACCCCUAGUGUGUGAUGGGGUCUGGAGCUCUGUGCUGUCUGGGGAGUGAUGCUGAAGCAGGGAAUUGUGGCCCUUAGGGAUGCUGCAGAGCAGGGGGUCUAAGCCUGAUUUUGGUUUAGCUCGGGGUUGAGUCCUGACUGCUUGUAAAAGCUGAAAAUUGUCCUUGAGUAUAUUAGGGGUUUCAGUGUUUGCCCCUGGCUUCUGGGUGCAGAUGACGGCAUUGGAUGUGCUGGGACAGAGGAGCGGGUGCGUGCGUGUCUGCCUCUGCCUGGCUGUUGCUGCUGCCACUGGUCUCCCUUCAGUUCUGGGAAGUGCACUCUGUCCUAUGUCUCUGGGUGUGUCACUGGUGUUUCUUUCUACUUUGAUACCUAAAAUCACAGCAGCACUUCUUUCUUUGCUCUUCCCAGAGCUGGAAGGAUAGGUGUGUUUGCAUGUAAAUUGAUCCCCUCCUUUGGGUGGGCUUUGACUGUACCCUGUGUGCCUCAUGUGCGGGUGGGGGUGUUAUGCUUUUGGUGUCCUAGAUUGCGGGGGGCAUUGUGUCUGUGCUGUCAGUACUAUGAGAUGUGAAUACUGUUGUGUGUAGUAAUUGCUUGUUGUUUUGGGUGUGAUGUCAAUGUGUGGAGUGUGAGCAGAGAAGAGCUGAGGGGAAGAGGUGAAUAGACCUAGAGCCAGCGCUACGUAGAAGCAGGUGGUCGUGCAGCCAUGCUCACUUCUGGGUCACCUGGAGGGAGGCCUCUGCCCGUUCGGUGGAGCUGUGUGCAUGGGCAGAGCCUGCAGUGGGAGGUCCCUGCGUCCCCUGUGUGGAGAGGACGGCAAGGAGGGAUGAGAGUGCACUGGAGGAGGAGUGCGAUGCCAGGUCCCAUGAGUGCGGUCUCUUGGGGUGAGGCCCUUCUCACAGAUGGAUGGGUGCACCCUGGCCAGGCACGUCUUGGAGAGCUGGUCCUGACCUGUGCAGAGGGAAAUGACUGCCGGUUGAAGGAGUGAAGCUGACCAGCGCCCACGGAGGAUGAAGCAGGAGGAACUCGAUGCUGCACAGUGUGUCGGUGCUGGAUGGGCAGGUCUGGCAUUUGGUUUCUGUUUUUCUCCAGCCCAGUCCUGGGUGUUGGGCAUUGACUAAGUAGGGUAGACAACUGGAGAUGGAUCAGGAUGUUUCUGACUGUGGAGAGUACUGGAUGUCAGAGAAAAGGUCCUUCUUGUGGUGGUGUCUCCAGCAUAUGCUGUGGCUGCUGUGCUGUGGUCCCAACAGAGGCAAGCCUUGGAGAGCUCAGAGGGUCCUGGUCCUUGCAGAGAAGUUUGAGCAGAGAAGGGUGGAAGAUGGAGGCAGAGAGGAUGGUGCAAGCGGGGGGUCUUUUUACCAAGACUUUUGGGGCAGGGAGGAGAAGUGGAGAUUGGGCAGAAGAAGAGAAGACACCUUGAAGUCAUGAACCAUGGAGCUGCCUGUCGUUGGUGCGUGGAGCAUGUGAUGGGUGCUUGCGCUGUAGCUCUGUCGUGAGGAGCGGGGCACGGGCAGUGACACGCUGAGGGCUGGAGAAGGAGCACCACAAAGAUGGCUGUGGUGAGCAGUAGAUGUUGGUGAUGAUGAGGUGUUCUCUGUGGUGGCCGUGUCCUGCAAGCGGUCUGGUUGCUGUGAAGUAGAUGUUUCCUCGGGUCGGAUGUUGAACACCCUGCCCAGGCAGGCCGGAGGGAAGCCUUUGUGAGCUCUGAGUCUGUGGGUGAGAGGCCUUGGUCAGGCGUGAAGUAUGUGAGCCAGGAGAGUCGUGCAGCACACACGCAGGAUGGAGGGCAACAAGGCGAGCGGGAGGCUUUUUUGGCCAGGGCUGCUGUGAAAUCUGGUGUAGGGCUGGGCCGGCCGGUCCGAGUCUGUCGGAGUCCAUGUAUAGGAGAAACGACGGAUGUCUAAGGAGCUUGUGGGGUGUUUGAUCCGGGCUCAUCCCUGGCACUUGGGGUGCAGGCCUGGCCCCUCUCUGGGGUGUGUUGAGGGUGAGCUCUGGGUUUGCAUUCGUGCCCCUGACUUGCUGUUGCUACAGGCCUCCCUUCAGUCUUGGGAACAGCGCUAUGUCCUGUGUGCCUGGGGGUGUCACUAGUGUCUGUCUCUUUCUACGUCUUUGCAAAAUGUCUGCAGCACUUGUUCUUUUUCUGCUCUUGUCAGGACUGGAGGGAAGGCUGUGGUGGGUUUUUUCCUGCCACCUAAAAUGGUUUCCACCUCGGGGAGGGGUCUGACUGCACCCUGUGUGCCGUGUUUAGGCUGGGUGGGGGUAUCGCCUUUGGAUUCUCGGGGGUUGCUUUUGCCCUCAGGGCUGUGAGUCCCGUGUGCCGCGUGACUUUUCCUAAUUUAUUUUUGUUUUGGUGACAUGUACGGGAGUCAUCUGGCUGAGGCUCGAGGCUCGUAAGCGGGCAUCGGGAAGAAGAGGUGGAGACAGCGCCUGUGACCUGAGGAAGCUGGUGAAAGAAAUGGAUGUCGGCGCAUUCGCUUUGCGGUUGCCCGGUGUGAGACUUCUGCCCGUGAGGUGGCCCUGGGCUGGAAGCCUUGUUACGUGAAGCCUGCGAUAGAUGUUGGAUUGCUGCUCCCUGUGUGGUGAGGAGGAUGGGCUGCAAUGACUGGAGGCCUGGAAAAGGAGCCGUGUGGCCAGGGUCCUGGCCUGCACGGAGGGAAGUAGGUGAGAGGAUUGCAUCGUGGAAGAGCCGUGGGACAGUGUUGGAUGACAGACACGGACCGGCCGGAUGUUGCCCGCUACGUUGGAAUGUCCCUUCUGUAUUGGGAUUCUGCGUGGGGGUGUGGGGUGGGUUUGGGAGUGUCCUCAGCUUUAUGAUCCUGGAGCCAGGGGUUUGCAAGUAGUAUGUUUGGGUCAGUUCGUGUGUGCUGUGGGUGGACCUAGGGUGACCAGAGGUGAAAUCCAUUCCUGUGACCCUGCAGUUGGACCAGCACCCAGACACUUGCAGGAACCGCUGGGCAAGCAGGCCCAGAGCUUGCAACUGUUGAGCACGGCAAUGCUGGAGCCAGCUAGCAUGGAAGCAGGAGGGCCGGCCAGGCGCGGGGCCCGGGCUGCCUCUGUGGCUUCUGUGCUAGUGAGGUUGAGAAUUGCAGUGCUGUGGGGUUGGAGGUUUUGGACCUGCUUGUGCAGGGUUCUUGUUGGUGUUGGGGUGCUGGUUCUGCUGGGUCAGAGCAAUGGGUUUUAUUCUGCCUGGCUGCCAUGUUUACAGUGUCCUGCAGGGCUGGGAGCCUGUCGUAGCAGCGUGUGUUUGGCUGGGGCGGGGUGGUUGUCUGGUUUGGUCCCUGAGCAGUGUGGUGAGCAUGUUUGUUAUUACACUGAAAUAAAAUAGUUUUCUGAUAGCCUACUGUUAGGCUAACCAUAAUUUAGAUUAUUAAGAAAUAUUAGCUUUGCAGCUGAAUACAAGGCAUGACCUGUGGCCUAGCAAUGCCGCUGACCACAAGGCAGAAUGAUAGCUAAGCCUUUGCUUAUGUUAAGUAAUCAUUUUAACUGUGUUGACUAUUUUCUGAGUAAAAUGCAGCAAGUGAAUCUGUGUUUGCGUGCUGUAAACCAGAUGCAGCAAGAAAGAAGAUAAGAGGAAGAAGCCAUUGUUCUAAGUACAGUGAUCGUGUCCUUAAGAAGUAUCUGUGCAAGUUUUUGCUAACAUAUCAUUAUGUUACUGUUACUUAGGUUAGAAAAUAUUUUUGGAAAAUCAAUGUGACCUUUGUAUGACCUUUGGUCAAUGCUGGCUGAUGCAACCUUGCAGUAAGAUUGCCAAGGUCUGUCAAUAUAGGCGGGCAAACAAGGUGAUUGGGCCCAACCAUGCGGGGUAAGCAAAGCCAAGCCAUCUUGGUGAUUUCCUCUGAGUUUUGCGCGUGUGUUAUGAAGAAGCUUAUGUAACCAGAGUUUAUAAAUAUAUGUGUUGAGUUGCAGUCGGGGUCUCUCUCUGCCCUUACGAGGACAGGGGACCUUCGGCCGAAUAAACUGAAAAGACCACACCUUCAUCUCCUGCUUAUUGGAGUCUCAGCUGGGAAACGAGCCCUGUUUGGGUUAAGAGAGUCUGCAAUUGUUCCCUUACCAGAUUGGGAGCCUGGUCAGACAAUUUCUCCCACAGGCGAAAGCAGAGCUGUCUGUUACUCAGCUUUGUUUUGUUGUUGCCCCUAGUGGAGGUAUUGCAAAAAUGUAUCAUCUCACUACACAAAAGGCUUCUCAGCUGAAAACUGUAAACUGCAAAUUGUUUCUUCUUCUCUCUCCCCCAUCACUGCGGGGGGGGGUCGUGUUAGGGGGAGAGAAUAGUCGAACAAUGCUUGCUUCACGAUAAGGCUGACUCCUGUGGGAACACAGAUUAGUUACUGCCUGCUUUGCACAUAAACUUUGCAGAAAACUGUAGCAAAUGACAGAUUGCCGCAAUGGAAUCUUGUUCAGGAGAGGUAUAAAAAUGUAUCCUCGGGCAUGGCUAGGGGUCAACAUGACUUUGAGCUCCGUUGUCGAUCUGUUUGCAAACAAACAUACUUGAAAUGGAUCCAGCCUAAGUGUGUAUAACUCUCUCUUGAGGUAUAUGGAAAAAGCCUCCAGAAACACGAAACUAGCUGUUUGUGCAACAGAGGCACAACUGGGAAGCACCCCCCCUCCCCCUGUCAGCUUAACCACCCUCUCGUCCGUCCAAGGCCCCUGCCUUGUAGUGCCUCUUGGGCCUGUGUGGUGUUGCUGGUCGUUGUGUUUUUUUGGGGGGGGGGGGGUGUGAGGGGUGUGCAGCCAAGGUGAUGGCUCCUGUGGAGAAGGGGAGUAGAAGCAGAAGUAGUUACGAAGAGCCUGGGUGCUGGGCUGAUGUCGUGGGAGAAAACUCCCUGGUGUUCGUUGUCUAGCCGGCUUAGAGACCAGACAACACGGGUGAAGGGGUAACUGCAGUUUAUCUACUCGAGUAAAGACCAUAAAACAGCAAAGAGGUAAAAUGGCCUCGACUUAAGGGUGAGGCUGUCUUGUAUACAUUUUCUAACAAAGAAACUACAAGGUUAUUGAAUAUGCAAUACUUAUGGUAAUCAUCUCCUUACAUGGUGCAUUACAAGUCUCAGUACUUUUCCAGAGGAAAAAAGUUAGUGUUACCUUACACAUUCCAAUCUGUUUUCCUGUGUUCUGCUGUACCAUCUUCUUCCCUCUGGGCCCCCCCCCCCCCUUAUCUUAUCUGACUCCUAGCUGUAGCUGGUACCCAGUACACAGACUUAAGCAUUUUGUUAGAAAAAAGCAGAAAUUAAGGCACUUGACAUAAGAAAAUGACUGGCUUAGAGAUCAUUCUGUCUUGUGGUCAGCAAGAUUGCUAGGCCACAGGUCAUGCCUAGUGUUUAGCUACAAAGCUAAUACUAUUUAAUAAUCUAAAUUACCCUGAAAUAAAAUAGUUUUCUGUAGUAUACUGUUAACAGUAAAGAGAAACCCAUCACUUUGAGUGUGAGGUGGAAGAGGUGCCAGGAGGAUGUGUGGGGUGUGGCUUGUGUGCUCUGUGGGGUGACAGGGAUGCGAAGCUGCCUGCCUGGGGGUGGUGGGAUCGUGCUCUGCUCCGUUGCUUGUUUGCUUUGUUUGGUGAUGUUUGUGUGUGUCCUUGUGUUGUUUGUGUUCUGCCUGUUUGUUGUGAGGUUGGCAAUGUUUUCUUCCUGGUGGUUUGUUUUGUACAUGGCUGUUUGCUCACCUCCUAUCUGUUGAGCUUUUUGUAUGUAACAUGUAGAGGAACUUGUGGGCCAGCCUGGAAAAAUAAAAUAAAGGAGAAAUGGUUCUGGUA